rnacentral:SRP_RNA from 1 species
CCGUGCUAGACGGGGAGUUAGCGGUGCCCUGUGACCCGCAAUCCGCUUCAGCGGGGUCGAAUUCCCAUUCCGAGGGCGGUCCGUGUUGAAUGAGCCUCAGGGGGCGGCGUUGAAGGUUGGGCCCCACGCAACGAGAAUCACCGAACCCCGCCAGACCCGGAAGGGAGCAACGGUAAGGCGACCCUCUCGUGUGCCGUGGGAGUACCUGACUGGAGCAGGCUUCCCGUGGAGUUCGCAGUACGGAUCGUUCGAAGGUGGGUGCACGG